rnacentral:rRNA from 1 species
AAAGCGGAGGAAAAGAAACCAACAGGGAUUGCCUCAGUAACGGCGAGUGAAGCGGCAAAAGCUCAAAUUUGAAAUCUAGCACCUUCGGUGUUCGAGUUGUAAUUUGAAGAUGGUAACCUUGGGUUUGGCUCUUGUCUAUGUUCCUUGGAACAGGACGUCAUAGAGGGUGAGAAUCCCGUCUGAUGAGAUGCCCAUUCCUAUGUAAGGUGCUAUCGAAGAGUCGAGUUGUUUGGGAAUGCAGCUCUAAGUGGGUGGUAAAUUCCAUCUAAAGCUAAAUAUUGGCGAGAGACCGAUAGCGAACAAGUACAGUGAUGGAAAGAUGAAAAGAACUUUGAAAAGAGAGUGAAAAAGUACGUGAAAUUGUUGAAAGGGAAGGGCAUUAGAUCAGACUUGGUGUUUUACGAUUAUCUUCUCUUCUUGAGUUGUGCACUCGUAUUUCACUGGGCCAGCAUCGAUUCGGAUGGCAAGAUAAUGGCAGUUGAAUGUGGCUUCACUUCGGUGGAGUGUUAUAGCUUCUGCUGAUAUUGCCUGUCUGGAUCGAGGGCUGCGUCUUUGACUAGG